rnacentral:rRNA from 1 species
UGAAAAUUUUCUUUAUUUUUAAAUAAGUAAUUUGUAUUUUAAGUAAAAAUACUUAAAUAUGUAUGAGGGACGAUAAGACCCUAAAAGCUUCAUUUUUAUUUUAUUUAUAUAAAAUUUAUGUGAUAUAAAAAUAUCUAUAAAUAUAAAAAUUAGCUGGGGUAGUUAUUUUAAUAUAAUUAAAAUUUAUUAAUACAUUUAAUAUUAAUGGUGAAAGAUCCUUUAUAUAAGGAAAAUUAGUCAUAGUUACUUUAGGGAUAACAGCGUUAUAUUUUUGGAGAGAUCUUAUCUAUAAAAAUGAUGGCGACCUCGAUGUUGAAUUAAAAUUACUAUAUGAAGC